rnacentral:rRNA from 1 species
CCUACGGGUGGCAGCAGUGAGGAAUAUUGGUCAAUGGACGAGAGUCUGAACCAGCCAAGUAGCGUGAAGGAUGACUGCCCUAUGGGUUGUAAACUUCUUUUAUAUGGGAAUAAAAUGUUCCACGUGUGGGAUUUUGUAUGUACCAUAUGAAUAAGGAUCGGCUAACUCCGUGCCAGCAGCCGCGGUAAUACGGAGGAUCCGAGCGUUAUCCGGAUUUAUUGGGUUUAAAGGGGGCGUAGGUGGAUUGUUAAGUCAGUUGUGAAAGUUUGCGGCUCAACCGUAAAAUUGCAGUUGAAACUGGCAGGCUUGAGUACAGGAGAGGUAGGCGGAAUUCGUGGUGUAGCGGUGAAAUGCUUAGAUAUCACGAGGAACUCCGAUUGCGAAGGCAGCUCACUGGACUGCAACUGACACUGAGGCUCGAAAGUGUGGGUAUCAAACAGGAUUAGAUACCCCGGUAGUC